GACGAACGCUGGCGGCGUGCCUAAUACAUGCAAGUAGAACGCUGAAGGAGGAGCUUGCUUCUCUGGAUGAGUUGCGAACGGGUGAGUAACGCGUAGGUAACCUGCCUGGUAGCGGGGGAUAACUAUUGGAAACGAUAGCUAAUACCGCAUAAUAGUAGAUGUUGCAUGACAUUUGCUUAAAAGGUGCAAUUGCACCACUACCAGAUGGACCUGCGUUGUAUUAGCUAGUUGGUGGGGUAACGGCUCACCAAGGCGACGAUACAUAGCCGACCUGAGAGGGGGAUCGGCCACACUGGGACUGAGACACGGCCCAGACUCCUACGGGAGGCAGCAGUAGGGAAUCUUCGGCAAUGGACGGAAGUCUGACCGAGCAACGCCGCGUGAGUGAAGAAGGUUUUCGGAUCGUAAAGCUCUGUUGUAAGAGAAGAACGAGUGUGAGAGUGGAAAGUUCACAAUGUGACGGUAUCUUACCAGAAAGGGACGGCUAACUACGUG
rnacentral:rRNA from 1 species